rnacentral:rRNA from 1 species
CGCAUCUGUGCAUGCAGCAUAUCAAUAAGCGGAGGAAAAGAAACUAACAAGGAUUCCCCUAGUAACGGCGAGUGAAGCGGGAAGAGCUCAAAUUUGAAAUCUUAAAGGGUUUCCCUUUACGAAUUGUAGUUUAAAGAAGUGUUUUCUGUUGAGGUUUUGGUAAAAGUUCUUUGGAAUAGGACAUCAUAGAGGGUGAGAAUCCCGUAUUUGACCUUUACUUUCAACUUUGUGAUACACUUUCAAAGAGUCGGAUUGUUUGGGAAUGCAGUCCAAAAUGGGUGGUAAAUUUCAUCUAAAGCUAAAUAUUGGCGAGAGACCGAUAGCGAACAAGUACCGUGAGGGAAAGAUGAAAAGAACUUUGAAAAGAGAGUUAAACAGUACGUGAAAUUGUCAAAAGGGAAGCGUUUGACACCAGUGUUGUUUUUCUGAAAAUCAAUUAAAGAACUGUUUAUGCUAAGUUGUUUAGACUUUAUCAGCUAACUGUUUAGUUUUGAGCUUUUCUUUAAUGCACUUUUCAGUUAACAAGUCAACAUCAAUUUCUUUUGCUGUAAAAAAGCUUGAGGAAGGUGGCUUGAGAUUCGUCUUAAGUGUUUAUAGCCUCUUGCCUAUGCAGUCGGAGAGAUUGAGGUCUGCAGCGUAGAUCCUUCGGGGCUAAAUGCAUUUGUGCUAAGUUGAUAGCAUUUUAUAGACAACUUGUUGACUAUGAUUUGUCUUGUAGCUUACUCGCUUAUGUUAUUUUACCUACGCUUAGGAUGUUGAGCGCAUGUCUCUCUCU